UUUACUUGUAACAGAGUAUUCCUACACUCUAGUUCAAGACUUAGUUCCCAUAAAAUAAUACUUAUUGGUAGACAUUUAGACACAGGAACAUGGAUGUGGGUACAGGAGAGGAAAAGAGAUAUGAGAAUAAUCAGGAUUUAGCACACUUUAGCACAAAUUACUUAAUAAUAAUAAUAAUAAAACAAUUGUGGGAAGCUGUGUUUUUAUAUUGAGAGAGUGCAAUAGUGGAUAUAAGAUGUACUGUGGUAUUGCAGUUUUAAAUUAGUUAGAGACAGUUUCUACAAAAAAUCUAUUAUAAUAUCUCAAAUAGCCAUGUCAUAAUUUCACAACAUAUUACAAACCAAAAUUGAUGUAACACUUUGAUAAUAAAACUUGGAUUGAGUUUUAUUGCACAAUAUACACAAGCUGCUUGACCAACAUCAUUACAUCAACACUGACAGAGAGGCACAAUUCUGAGUAGGCAAAGUAAUCUUUUUUGAACAAUUUCAUACCAACAACUGCUAAUAUUAGUGGUGCAAGAUCUCUUAACUCUAUAUUGAAUAAACUACUUCAUGUUGCUCACAGGAUUCCUCGAAACUUUAAAGGCAAGGCAAGGCAAACCCAAAGUGCUUUACAAAAUAAUAUAAAAGACAUUUAAGAACAAAUACAGUGGAAGCACAUUAUACAAAGGCAUUUAAAAACAGGCAUUUAAAAAGCAAAGAUAAUAAAAUCAACACAACAGGUAUAAAAUACAUACAAAAAGCCAUACUGCAGUUUGAAUCCUCAUCCAAAUGCAGCCUCAAAAAGAUACAUUUUCCAUCUAGAUUUAAAAGUAUCAACAGUUGCAGCUGACCUGCAGGAUUCAGGCCGUUUGUUCCAGAUUUUUGCAGGAAAUCGUUAAUAUAAUUUGGUCCUAAAACAUUUAGUGCUUUAAAACCAGCAAUGCUGUUGGAAUAAUAUCGAGGCUGCAGGAGGAGGAUUUCAGAUGUUGAAUAAUGUCCUCCAGGUCUUUAUAAUUUAUCAGACGGAAUUGUGUCAUGAUGUCUGAAUUGACUUUAGGUGGACACAGGGACAAAACAUUUGCUGUACCUGGUACAGAGGCACUGACUGCUUGUCUGAUUUUCAUAAUUUUGUUCGUGAAGAAGGAGGCAAAUUCAUUGCAGGCCCUGGUGGAUAGAAAUUCAGAGGCUACUGACACUGGGGGGUUUGUUAGUCUGUUGACGGUUGCAAACAGGGCGUGUGAGUUGUUUUUAUUUUUAGUAAUGAUGUCAGACAAGAAAGACUGUCGUGCCUUUUUUAUUUCCUGAUUAUAGAUGCAUAGUCUCUCUUUAUAUCUUUCCAAGUGAACUUGGAGAUUUGUUUUUCUCCACCUGCGUUCAGCUUUUCUACACUCUGUUUUUGCCGUUCUCACGGUCAUGGCUUUUCUCCAUGGAGAUAUUUUUUUGCCAGAUACUUCCUUUAUUUAAAUUCACCUUUUAAAAAGUUCAACUAGAGACAGAAAGACUCGGGUUAGGAGGACACAUACACUCUUACAUCAUGUAAACAUCUACACUGAUACAAAAAAAAUUCCAACGCUUUAAAUAUUUAAAA